ensembl:snRNA U6 U6 spliceosomal RNA
AUGCUCACUUCAGCAGCACAUAUACUAAAAAUUGGAACGAUAUAGAAAAGAAUGUCAUGGCUCCUAAGCAAGGAUGACAACACAAAUUAGUGAAGCGUUCCAUAUUUUA